rnacentral:rRNA from 1 species
UACGGGGGGGGCAAGCGUUGUUCGGAAUUAUUGGGCGUAAAGAGCUCGUAGGCGGCCUGUCGCGUCGGAUGUGAAAGCCCGGGGCUUAACCCCGGGUCUGCAUUCGAUACGGGCAGGCUAGAGUGUGGUAGGGGAGAUCGGAAUUCCUGGUGUAGCGGUGAAAUGCGCAGAUAUCAGGAGGAACACCGGUGGCGAAGGCGGAUCUCUGGGCCAUUACUGACGCUGAGGAGCGAAAGCGUGGGGAGCGAACAGG